GGGGUUCUGGCCGAGUGGUUAAGGCGCUGUGUUUAGGCCACAUGGUAGAUCCGCAGUGGGAAACCGCGCAGGUUCGAAUCCUGCGGACCUCA
rnacentral:tRNA from 1 species